rnacentral:rRNA from 1 species
GAGAGUUAAAUAGUACGUGAAAUUGUUGAAAGGGAAACGAUUGAAGUCAGUCAUGCUAGUGAAAAAUCAGUUUGACGGGUUUUGAGUUCGGGAGUAGAGGCAGGGUCAAACCGUUUCUCUUUUGGACUUGGGAUUUGUCGGAUGUACUUUUUCUUUGGCAGGUCAGCGUCGGUUUCGGAGGUUGUAAAAUACUUGGGGGAAAGUAGCUCUGCUUCGGGAGAGUAUUAUAGACCCUGGGGGAUGCAGCCUGUGGGAUCGAGGAUUGCAGCAAAUGCCUUUGGCUUGUCGCCUGAUCUCUGGAUGUUACCUCUCUUGUGACAACAUUCUUGCCACCGGGGAGUACUGAUGCCCAUUAGGUUAGAACGAUCAAAAAUUUGCUAAGGAUGCUGACGUAAUGGCUUUAAACGA